rnacentral:rRNA from 3 species
UGUAGGCUGGUUUUCCAGGCAAAUCCGGAAAAUCAAGGCUGAGGCGUGAUGACGAGGCACUACGGUGCUGAAGCAACAAAUGCCCUGCUUCCAGGAAAAGCCUCUAAGCAUCAGGUAACAUCAAAUCGUACCCCAAACCGACACAGGUGGUCAGGUAGAGAAUACCAAGGCGCUUGAGAGAACUCGGGUGAAGGAACUAGGCAAAAUGGUGCCGUAACUUCGGGAGAAGGCACGCUGAUAUGUAGGUGAAGUCCCUCGCGGAUGGAGCUGAAAUCAGUCGAAGAUACCAGCUGGCUGCAACUGUUUAUUAAAAACACAGCACUGUGCAAACACGAAAGUGGACGUAUACGGUGUGACGCCUGCCCGGUGCCGGAAGGUUAAUUGAUGGGGUCAGCGCAAGCGAAGCUCUUGAUCGAAGCCCCGGUAAACGGCGGCCGUAACUAUAACGGUCCUAAGGUAGCGAAAUUCCUUGUCGGGUAAGUUCCGACCUGCACGAAUGGCGUAAUGAUGGCCAGGCUGUCUCCACCCGAGACUCAGUGAAAUUGAACUCGCUGUGAAGAUGCAGUGUACCCGCGGCAAGACGGAAAGACCCCGUGAACCUUUACUAUAGCUUGACACUGAACAUUGAGCCUUGAUGUGUAGGAUAGGUGGGAGGCUUUGAAGUGUGGACGCCAGUCUGCAUGGAGCCGACCUUGAAAUACCACCCUUUAAUGUUUGAUGUUCUAACGUGGACCCGUGAUCCGGGUUGCGGACAGUGUCUGGUGGGUAGUUUGACUGGGGCGGUCUCCUCCUAAAGAGUAACGGAGGAGCACGAAGGUUGGCUAAUCCUGGUCGGACAUCAGGAGGUUAGUGCAAUGGCAUAAGCCAGCUUGACUGCGAGCGUGACGGCGCGAGCAGGUGCGAAAGCAGGUCAUAGUGAUCCGGUGGUUCUGAAUGGAAGGGCCAUCGCUCAACGGAUAAAAGGUACUCCGGGGAUAACAGGCUGAUACCGCCCAAGAGUUCAUAUCGACGGCGGUGUUUGGCACCUCGAUGUCGGCUCAUCACAUCCUGGGGCUGAAGUAGGUCCCAAGGGUAUGGCUGUUCGCCAUUUAAAGUGGUACGCGAGCUGGGUUUAGAACGUCGUGAGACAGUUCGGUCCCUAUCUGCCGUGGGCGCUGGAGAACUGAGGGGGGCUGCUCCUAGUACGAGAGGACCGGAGUGGACGCAUCACUGGUGUUCGGGUUGUCAUGCCAAUGGCACUGCCCGGUAGCUAAAUGCGGAAGAGAUAAGUGCUGAAAGCAUCUAAGCACGAAACUUGCCCCGAGAUGAGUUCUCCCUGACCCUUUAAGGGUCCUGAAGGAACGUUGAAGACGACGACGUUGAUAGGCCGGGUGUGUAAGCGCAGCGAUGCGUUGAGCUAACCGGUACUAAUGAACCGUGAGGCUUAACCUUACAACGCCGAAGGUGUUU